rnacentral:rRNA from 1 species
AUGGCCGAGAUCACGCCGGUGGCCACCUGUGCUUUCCUCCUCGUCUUCUGCGUUUGCUGCCACCUGCCUCCUCCCGCCGCUUCCCUGUUCUUCAACUACUCCACUUUCAGCUCUCAAGACCAGAAGGACUUCAGAAUCGAAGGGGACGCCUCCUUCAGCGUCGGGUGGAUCGACGUCAGCGCCAACAAGUUCGCCGGCAUCGGCAACAGCGCGGGCCGGGUGUCCUACAACGCCCAGCCGAUGCUGCUCUGGGACAAGGCCACGGGCCAGGUGGCGAGCUUCACCACGCGUUUCUCCUUCGCCAUCGGCAUCCCCAACAUCAACAACAAGGGGAAAGGCAUGACCUUCUUCCUCGCCGGCUACCCAUCGGUUCUGCCGUACGAUUCCUACGGCUUCGACCUCGGCCUCACCAACCAGAGCACCAGCGCCUCGGCGACAGGGGACAACCGGUUCGUCGCCGUCGAGUUCGACACCUUCAACGAUACCCAGGUAUCCGAUCCCGACGCCACCUAUGACCACCUCGGCAUCGACGUCAACUCCGUCCGAUCCGUAGUAACCAAGUCCCUGCCGAGCUUCAGCCUCAUGGGGAACAUGACCGCUCUCAUACAGUACGACAACGUUUCCAGCCUUCUGUCCUUGACGCUAUGGCUCGGCGAUGGCCGAGGCCGGAAUUACAGCCUUAGCUCCAAGGUUGACCUCAAGAGCGCAUUGCCGGAGCAGGUCGCCGUCGGCUUCUCCGCCGGGACGUCCUCGUCCGUAGAGCUACAUCAGCUGAGUUCAUGGUACUUCAACUCGUCCUUGGAACCGAAGGCGGUCACCGUCGCCCCACCCUCCCCUGGCAGUGGCAGUGGCAGCCACAGUUCAGGAGUUAUAGCGGGAGCAAGUGCCGGCGCGACACUGUUCCUGGUGCUCAUCAUCGUCGCCGCAGUAAUCUUGAUAAGUCUUCGUGGGAACAAGAAGAAGAAGCGAGAGGUUGAGGAGGAAGACAUGGGCUCGGAGGACGAGGACGGCGAUCCAGCGGUGGAGAUUGAGAUGGGGAGCACGGGGCCGAGGCGAUUUCCGUACCAGGAGCUGGUGGAUGCGACGAGGAACUUUGCGGCGGAGGAGAAGCUCGGACAAGGCGGCUUUGGCGCGGUGUACCGAGGCAACCUGAGAGAGCCUCGCCUCGCCGUGGCUAUAAAGCGGUUCUCCAAGGACUCUUCGAUGCAGGGGAAGAGGGAGUACACGUCAGAGAUCAACGUGAUAAGCAAGCUGCGGCACCGGAACCUGGUGCAGCUCGUCGGCUGGUGCCACGGCCGCAACGAGCUCCUGCUCGUCUACGAGCUCAUGCCCCACCGCAGCCUGGACAUUCAUCUCCACGGCAAGGGCACCUUCUUGACAUGGCCGAUGAGGAUGAAGAUAGUAACUGGGCUGGGGUCGGCACUGCUGUACCUCCACGAGGAGUGGGAGCAAUGCGUUGUGCACCGCGACAUCAAGCCGAGCAACGUGAUGCUGGACGAGUCCUUCGGCGCCAAGCUAGGAGACUUCGGGCUGGCGAGGUUCAUCGACCACGCCGUCGGGACGCAGACGAUGACCGCCGUGUCGGGCACACCGGGCUACGUGGAUCCACAGUCCAUGAUCACCGGCAGGGCCAGCGCCGAGUCCGACGUUUACAGCUUCGGCAUCCUUCUGCUGGAGGUCGCGUGCGGAAGGAGGCCGGUGAGCCUGCUGCAUGAUCCUGCCGAGAAGAACGGACUGUUCCGGCUCGUCGAGUGGGUCUGGGACCUGUAUGGUCGGGGAGCCCUUCUCGACGGGGCCGACGAGCGGCUCGACGGCGAGUACGAUAGGGCGGAGGUGGAGCGCGUGAUGGUCGCCGGGCUCUGGUGCGCGCACCCGGACCCGAGCGCGCGGCCGUCCAUGAGAGCAGCCAUGGCCGUGCUCCAGUCCAAGGAUGCUAAUCAGCUGCCGGUGCUCCCCGCCAGUAUGCCCGUGCCCACGUACGGGCCGCUGGUGUCUUUGCCGAGCGGGCUGUCUUCGUUCAGUGUGACACAGUCGACGUCGACGUCGACGAGCGGCUACGGCACACACACGUCUACUUCAUCCGACGUUAGCACGAUCGGUUCAAAGGAUUCGUCUUCCUUACUCAAACAUCAGUACUCAUAA